rnacentral:lncRNA from 1 species
UUCCAGGAUCUUCUAGCUUUCAGAGUCUGUGUUGAAAGAUCAGCUGUUAUCCUGAUUGGUUUACCCCUAAAUGUAAUCUGCUUCCUUUCUCUUGAAGCUUUUAAAAUUCUCUCCUUAUUCUGUAUGUUGGGCAUCUUCAUUAUAAUGUGUCUAGGUGUGGAUCUCUUAUGAUUUUGCACGUUCGGCGUCCUGUAGGCUUCUAGGAUUUGGGAUUCUGUCUCAUUCUUCAAGUCUGGGAAGUUUUCUCAUAUUAUUUCGUUGAACAGAUUGCUUAUUCCUUUGGUUUGGACCUCUAU